GUCAGGAAGGCCGAGCGGUCAGGCGCUGCGUUCAGGUCGCAGAUCCCUUCAAUGGGCGUGGGUUCAAUCCCACUUCUGACA